rnacentral:rRNA from 1 species
AACGGCCAUACCAUGCUGAAUAUGCCGAUUCUCGUUAGAUCACCGAAGUCAAGCAUCAUUGCGCGCGGUCAGUACUUGGGUGGGUGACCACCUGGGGAACACCGCGUGCCGUU